rnacentral:lncRNA from 1 species
AGUCCGGCGGACGAACUUCGCCCACGCCCCCCACCAAGGCUAUAGCCCACCCGUUUUUUGGCCAUUUUUCCGCUGGGGGGUCUUGGCGCCCCGACCUUCAGGGGCUGAUUUUUGGGCGCGGGUGUGCCCGUGGCCUAUUUUUGGCAAACGGAGGCCGCCCGCAGAGUCUGGGGCCAUUCCGAGUCCGGCGGACGAGCUUCGCCCACGCCCCCCACCAAGGCUAUAGCCCACCCGUUUUUUGGCCAUUUUUCCGCUGGGGGGUCUUGGCGCCCCGACCUUCGGGGGCUGAUUUUUGGGCGCGGGUGUGCCCGUGGCCUAUUUUUGGCACACGGAGGCCGCCCGCAAAGUCUGGGGCCAUUCCGAGUCCGGCGGACGAACUUCGCCCACGCCCCCCACCAAGGCUAUAGCCCACCCGUUUUUUGGCCAUUUUUCCGCUGGGGGGUCUUGGCGCCCCGACCUUCGGGGGCUGAUUUUUGGGCGCGGGUGUGCCCGUGGCCUAUUUUUGGCAUACGGAGGCCGCCCGCAAAGUCUGGGGCCAUUCCGAGUCCGGCGGACGAACUUCGCCCACGCCCCCCACCAAGGCUAUAGCCCACCCGUUUUUUGGCCAUUUUUCCGCUGGGGGGUCUUGGCUCCCCGACCUUCGGGGGCUGAUUUUUGGGCGCGGGUGUGCCCGUGGCCUAUUUUUGGCACACGGAGGCCGCCCGCAAAGUCUGGGGCCAUUCCGAGUCCGGCGGACGAACUUCGCCCACGCCCCCCACCAAGGCUAUAGCCCACCCGUUUUUUGGCCAUUUUUCCGCUGGGGGGUCUUGGCGCCCCGACCUUCGGGGGCUGAAUUUUGGGCGCGGGUGUGCCCGUGGCCUAUUUUUGGCACACGGAGGCCGCCCGCAAAGUCUGGGGCCAUUCCGAGUCCGGCGGACGAACUUCGCCCACGCCCCCCACCAAGGCUAUAGCCCACCCGUUUUUUGGCCAUUUUUCCGCUGGGGGGACUUGGCUCCCCGACCUUCGGGGGCUGAUUUUUGGGCGCGGGUGUGCCCGUGGCCUAUUUUUGGCACACGGAGGCCGCCCGCAAAGUCUGGGGCCAUUCCGAGUCCGGCGGACGAACUUCGCCCACGCCCCCCACCAAGGCUAUAGCCCACCCGUUUUUUGGCCAUUUUUCCGCUGGGGGGUCUUGGCGCCCCGACCUUCGGGGGCUGAAUUUUGGGCGCGGGUGUGCCCGUGGCCUAUUUUUGGCACACGGAGGCCGCCCGCAAAGUCUGGGGCCAUUCCGAGUCCGGCGGACGAACUUCGCCCACGCCCCCCACCAAGGCUAUAGCCCACCCGUUUUUUGGCCAUUUUUCCGCUGGGGGGUCUUGGCGCCCCGACCUUCGGGGGCUGAAUUUUGGGCGCGGGUGUGCCCGUGGCCUAUUUUUGGCACACGGAGGCCGCCCGCAAAGUCUGGGGCCAUUCCGAGUCCGGCGGACGAACUUCGCCCACGCCCCCCACCAAGGCUAUAGCCCACCCGUUUUUUGGCCAUUUUUCCGCUGGGGGGUCUUGGCGCCCCGACCUUCGGGGGCUGAAUUUUGGGCGCGGGUGUGUCCGUGGCCUAUUUUUGGCACACGGAGGCCGCCCGCAAAGUCUGGGGCCAUUCCGAGUCCGGCGGACGAACUUCGCCCACGCCCCCCACCAAGGCUAUAGC